rnacentral:rRNA from 1 species
AGUGAACGCUGGCGGUAUGCCUAACACAUGCAAGUCGAACGGCAGCACAGUAAGAGCUUGCUCUUACGGGUGGCGAGUGGCGGACGGGUGAGGAAUACAUCGGAAUCUACUUUUUCUUGGGGGAUAACGUAGGGAAACUUACGCUAAUACCUCAUACGACCUACGGGUGAAAUCAAUGGAUCUUCGGACCUUGCGCGAUUGAAUGAGCCGAUGUCGGAUUAGCUAGUUGGCGGGGUAAAGGCCCACCAAGGCGACGAUCCGUAGCUGGUCUGAGAGGAUGAUCAGCCACACUGGAACUGAGACACGGUCCAGACUCCUACGGGAGGCAGCAGUGGGGAAUAUUGGACAAUGGGCGAAAGCCUGAUCCAGCCAUACCGCGUGGGUGAAGAAGGCCUUCGGGUCGUAAAGCCCUUUUGUUGGGAAAGAAAAGCAGCAGGUUAAUACCCCGCUGUUCUGACGGUACCCAAAGAAUAAGCCCCGGCUAACUUCGUG